rnacentral:rRNA from 1 species
GGAGUUAGCCGGUGCUUCUUCUGUGAGUGAUGUCCUUCCUGCCGGCUAUUAACCCGCAGGCCUUCUUCCUCACUGAAAGUGCUUUACAACCCGAAGGCCUUCUUCACACACGCGGAAUGGCUGGAUCAGGGUUGCCCCCAUUGUCCAAUAUUCCCCACUGCUGCCUCCCGUAGGAGUCUGGGCCGUGUCUCAGUCCCAGUGUGGCUGAUCAUCCUCUCAGACCAGCUACGGAUCGUCGCCUUGGUGAGCCGUUACCUCACCAACCAGCUAAUCCGACAUAGGCUCAUCCGAUAGCGCGAGGCCCGAAGGUCCCCCGCUUUCCCCCGUAGGGCGUAUGCGGUAUUAGCCUGGGUUUCCCCAGGUUAUCCCCCACUACCGGGCAGAUUCCUAUGCAUUACUCACCCGUCCGCCGCUCGCCACCAGGGAGCAAGCUCCCCGUGCUGCCGCUCGACUUGCAUGUGUUAGGCCUGCCGCCAGCGUUCAAUCUGAGCCAGGAUCAAACUCUGA